rnacentral:rRNA from 1 species
GACGAACGCUGGCGGCGCGCUUAACACAUGCAAGUCGAACGGAAAGGCCUGCUUUCCCUUGUGGAUUGCGGGUACUCGAGUGGCGAACGGGUGAGUAACACGUGAGUGAUCUGCCCCCAACUUGGGUAUAAGCCUGGGAAACUGGGUCUAAUUCCCGAUAGGACUGCAGGGUGGUGCCUGUGGUGGAAAACGAUUUUCUAGUGGUUGGGGAUGAGCUCGCGGCCUAUCAGCUUGUUGGUGGGGUAAUGGCCUACCAAGGCGGCGACGGGUAGCCGGCCUGGGAGGGUGGACGGCCACAUUGGGACGGAGAUACGGCCCAGACUCCUACGGGAGGCAGCAGUGGGGGAUAUUGCACAAUGGGCGGAAGCCUGAUGCAGCGGCGCCGCGUGGGGGAUGACGGCCUUCGGGUUGUAAACUCCUUUCGACCGCGGGGAAGCCACCUGGUUGGAAGGGUGGUGACGGUAGUGGUAGAAGAAGCACCGGCUAACUACGUG